AGUCCAUGGUGAGGAACCUUCCUUAACAGCUCCUUAUACCGCUCCCAUGACUCAUUUAAAGAUUCUCCAUCUUGUUGGAAGAAAGUGGUGAUGUAAUUUCUCAUCUU
rfam:Nelumbo nucifera unplaced genomic scaffold scaffold00445, whole genome shotgun sequence